GGGGGUGUAGCUCAGCUGGUAGAGCAUCCGGCUUUUAACCGGCAGGUCGUGGGUUCGAAACCCACCGCCCCCA
rnacentral:tRNA from 2 species